UAUCAGCUUGUUGGUGAGUUAACGGCCCACCAAGGCGAUAACAGGUACGGGCUCUGAGAGGAGAAGCCCGGAGAUGGGUACUGAGACACGGACCCAGGCCCUAUGGGGCGCAGCAGGCGAGAAAACUUUGCAAUGUGCGAAAGCACGACAAGGUUAAUCCGAGUGGCCUCUGCUGAAGAGGUCUUUUGACAGUCCUAGAAACACUGUCGAAUAAGGGGUGGGCAAGUUCUGGUGUCAGCCGCCGCGGUAAAACCAGCACCUCAAGUGGUCAGGAUGAUUAUUGGGCCUAAAGCAUCCGUAGCCGGAUCUAUAAGUUUUCGGUUAAAUCUAUGCGCUCAACGUGUAGGCUGCCGGAAAUACUGUGGAUCUAGGGAGUGGGAGAGGUAGACGGUACUCGUUAGGAAGAGGUAAAAUUCACUAAUCUAUCGAUGACCACCUGUGGCGAAGGCGGUCUACCAGAACACGUCCGACGGUGAGGGAUGAAAGCUGGGGGAGCAAACCGGAUUAGAUACCCGGGUAGUCCCAGCUGUAAACAAUGCAAACUCAAUGAUGCAUCGGGUUGAACCCGGUGCAGUGUUGCAGGGAAGCCGUUAAGUUUGCCGCCUGGGAAGUACGUACGCAAGUAUGAAACUUAAAGGAAUUGGCGGGGGAGCACCACAAGGGGUGAAGCCUGCGGUUCAAUUGGAGUCAACGCCGGG
rnacentral:rRNA from 1 species